AGUGAACGCUGGCGGUAGGCCUAACACAUGCAAGUCGAACGGCAGCACAGGAGAGCUUGCUCUCUGGGUGGCGAGUGGCGGACGGGUGAGGAAUACAUCGGAAUCUACUCUGUCGUGGGGGAUAACGUAGGGAAACUUACGCUAAUACCGCAUACGACCUACGGGCGAAAGCAGGGGACCUUCGGGCCUUGCGCGAUUGAAUGAGCCGAUGUCGGAUUAGCUAGUUGGCGGGGUAAAGGCCCACCAAGGCGACGAUCCGUAGCUGGUGUGUGAGGAUGAUCAGCCACACUGGAACGAGGAAACGGUCCAGACUCCUACGGGGGGAAGCAGUGGGGAAGAUUGGACAAUGGGCGCAAGCCUGAUCCAGCCAUACCGCGUGGGUGAAGAAGGCCUUCGGGUUGUAAAGCCCUUUUGUUGGGAAAGAAAUCCAGCUGGCUAAUACCCGGUUGGGAUGACGGUACCCAAAGAAUAAGCACCGGCUAACUUCGUGCCAGCCGCCGCCGUAA
rnacentral:rRNA from 1 species